UACGAAGGGGGCUAGCGUUGUUCGGAAUUACUGGGCGUAAAGCGCACGUAGGCGGACAUUUAAGUCAGGGGUGAAAUCCCAGAGCUCAACUCUGGAACUGCCUUUGAUACUGGGUAUCUCGAGUAUGGUAGAGGUGAGUGGAAUUCCGGGUGUAGAGGUGAAAUUCGUAGAUAUUCGGAGGAACACCAGUGGCGAAGGCGGCUCGCUGGUCCAUUACUGACGCUGAGGUGCGAAAGCGUGGGGAGCAAACAGG
rnacentral:rRNA from 1 species